GGUUCUAUGGUGUAAUGGUUAGCACUUUGGACUUUGAAUCCAGCGAUCCGAGUUCAAGUCUCGGUAGAACCU
rnacentral:tRNA from 1 species